UGGAACUCUACUACUUAAAAAUAUUCAAAAGCUGAGAUUGGGGUUGGAGACUACCCUAAAUAACCUCCUUAUUACCUGUGGUGACUCAUGACUUGCCUCUACAGAACCUCUGGACUCCAGUGACAGUAGAUUGAGAAAUCUUGGUCUUGCUGGAAUUUUACAGUUGACAUACAGGAAGUGGAUGUUCCGUGACAGGCGCAGUCUAAGCUGAAAGAGCAGGUGGCCCAACCCUGUUCUGACUGGAUAGCAUUCAGAUUUCUGACCCUACCAGCCUUUAUGUGUGAGAAUAAGUACGGCCCAUGGAGAGCUGGGCAGAAUGCUGCAAAGAGGAGAGUCUGUAGUGAAGAACACUGCUUCCAGAUCUGCUUUUCUUCCCAAGAUAUUAUUUAUCAAAUUGAACUUUUGAAUGUUGAUUGAGAGAUCUUUAUAGGAGACAUAUAAAUAGAGUGGACGUUGAAUAGGACUCAAGAGUGAACAAGACUGCCACGGUCUCCCUUUGUACCAUUUCUUCUUCUGGAGGUUGACUAAGGAUAUCAAAUGGCCAACUUCUCAUUCAGGAUCAAAACCCUUUUUAUUGCCAUGCUGGCACUUUAUCUUUCUUGUGAUACUGUAUCAUCUUUCGCAUCUAGUUUUUUGGCAGAGCCAGACUGUAACAGAUACUCAGAGUCACUGCAUAGCUGUAGGAAGAUGUAUGUUCCAAUCUGUGCAUCCAAUGAUUUCACUUAUGGUAAUGUCUGUGCAUUUUGCAAAGCAAUAAGACACACUAACAAUGGAAUUUCUUUCAAACAUUAUGGCCCAUGCUGACUCCUGUGAUGCGGUGCUGUUCACUCAUAGGACACCUCUUAUAAUCCUAUUAUGCUGUUGAAUUCUACAGAAUCUUCUACAGAAUCUUAGUCUCUAGUGCCUUAAAGUUCUAGAUUAGUACUUGAAUAUUGUUUUGGAAACCUGUAUGGACUAUAAGAACUGGAAAAUUCUUGCAAUUCCAAAAUCCUAUAAUUUCAAAAUUUUAAUUAUCUGUCAAUUUCCAAAUAAUUUAUGAAAAUCUGAAAAAUCAUCAGUUAAUGUUGAAAGCCUGAAAUUGAGAACUUUUCUGAAUCAUUAAGUAUUUUGAUCAAUAAACUUGUUACAUGGCAUUGACUUUAUUAUUUUCCCCUUUCUCCCUUCCUGUUCCUCACACAUCCUUUUGCAAUAUUACCAUAUUAAAGUGAGUUUUUCUGUUUGAUUGCAUAGUGAGGUCACACAAAUACACAACAUAGGCAUUGCUAUUUACAGCAGUUUUCCCAAACUUGCCUUUAGUAUACAUGAUCAUUAUGGAUACCUAAGACCACCUAAUCUAAUCUUGAUCUAAUGACUCAAGAUCUUCAAGAGAAAAGUGUGGUGCCAAAAAUUUCAACAAGUCUUCUAGAUUAGGCAAAAACAAAUGAAAUUAACAUGGAAAGAAAUGCUAAACAGAAGUUGGAAAGAGUUUUACUACAGAUUGUUAGGGUACAGGCUAAGCCAAUAUAAGACACAAAGCAUACACAUUAAGCAAUUUGUAAUUUUGUUUCUUUUUCAUGUAAAAGUUCUAAAGAUGGGUAAACAGUUUAAGCUGGAGGCGAUUUUACAGUGCACGAGUUAGAUCUUCCAUUUUGGGAUACCACUAGAUGGCAAAAGAAGAAAAAAAUGACUUCAAUUCUCCAUUCUUCCCUAUGUUUUUACCCUGUGCAAUGCAACUUUGCAGUACUUUCCAUCGAGAAAAUCUAUCUGCUUUUUACUCCUUGAAUUAUGUUCUGUGGGCAAAAGAAUGGGGGCAGAACUGUGGUGUUGUACCA